UCUCUGGGUGUUUCCUUCCACUCAAAGUUUACUUUCGCUUUCGCGUCCUUCGUGUUCCUCGGGACUAAAUGUGAUCGCCUCCGUGUGAAGCGCCGUGUGAAGUUGAAGUGCUGACUCAUUCCUGGAAACAGAUCAUGUGAUCGAGCCUGUGAGGAAGCUUUGAGUGUGGAGCUGUGGAUCUUCUUCUUCUUCUUCUGCUCUGUCUGCAGAAACUGUGAAGGUAGAAAGUGUGUGUGAGCUGGUGUGAAUUCAGCAGCAUGGAUCAGUGUGAGGACA